GCGGCGGACGGGUGAGUAACACGUGGGUAACCUGCCUGUAAGACUGGGAUAACUCCGGGAAACCGGGGCUAAUACCGGAUGGUUGUUUGAACCGCAUGGUUCAGACAUAAAAGGUGGCUUCGGCUACCACUUACAGAUGGACCCGCGGCGCAUUAGCUAGUUGGUGAGGUAACGGCUCACCAAGGCGACGAUGCGUAUCCGACCUGAGAGGGUGAUCGGCCACACUGGGACUGAGACACGGCCCAGACUACUACGGGAGGCAGCAGUAGGGAAUCUUCCGCAAUGGACGAAAGUCUGACGGAGCAACGCCGCGUGAGUGAUGAAGGUUUUCGGAUCGUAAAGCUCUGUUGUUAGGGAAGAACAAGUGCCGUUCAAAUAGGGCGGCACCUUGACGGUACCUAACCAGAAAGCCACGGCUAACUACGUGCCAGCAGCCGCGGUAAUACGUAGGUGGCAAGCGUUGUCCGGAAUUAUUGGGCGUAAAGGGCUCGCAGGCGGUUUCUUAAGUCUGAUGUGAAAGCCCCCGGCUCAACCGGGGAGGGUCAUUGGAAACUGGGGAACUUGAGUGCAGAAGAGGAGAGUGGAAUUCCACGUGUAGCGGUGAAAUGCGUAGAGAUGUGGAGGAACACCAGUGGCGAAGGCGACUCUCUGGUCUGUAACUGACGCUGAGGAGCGAAAGCGUGGGGAGCGAACAGGAUUAGAUACCCUGGUAGUCCACGCCGUAAACGAUGAGUGCUAAGUGUUAGGGGGUUUCCGCCCCCUUAGUGCUGCAGCUAACGCAUUAAGCACUCCGCCUGGGGAGUACGGUCGCAAGACUGAAACUCAAAGGAAUUGACGGGGGCCCGCACAAGCGGUGGAGCAUGUGGUUUAAUUCGAAGCAACGCGAAGAACCUUACCAGGUCUUGACAUCCUCUGACAAUCCUAGAGAUAGGACGUCCCCUUCGGGGGCAGAGUGACAGGUGGUGCAUGGUUGUCGUCAGCUCGUGUCGUGAGAUGUUGGGUUAAGUCCCGCAACGAGCGCAACCCUUGAUCUUAGUUGCCAGCAUUCAGUUGGGCACUCUAAGGUGACUGCCGGUGACAAACCGGAGGAAGGUGGGGAUGACGUCAAAUCAUCAUGCCCCUUAUGACCUGGGCUACACACGUGCUACAAUGGACAGAACAAAGGGCAGCGAAACCGCGAGGUUAAGCCAAUCCCACAAAUCUGUUCUCAGUUCGGAUCGCAGUCUGCAACUCGACUGCGUGAAGCUGGAAUCGCUAGUAAUCGCGGAUCAGCAUGCCGCGGUGAAUACGUUCCCGGGCCUUGUACACACCGCCCGUCACACCACGAGAGUUUGUAACACCCGAAGUCGGUGAGGUAA
rnacentral:rRNA from 1 species